rnacentral:misc_RNA from 1 species
GAUGAAGAACGUAGCGAAAUGCGAUAAGUAAUGUGAAUUGCAGAAUUCAGUGAAUCAUCGAAUCUUUGAACGCACAUUGCGCCCGCUAGUAUUCUGGCGGGCAUGCCUGUCCGAGCGUCAUUUCAACCCUCAAGCCCCCGGGCUUGGUGUUGGGGAUCGGCGAGCCUCCGCGCCCGCCGUCCCCUAAAUCUAGUGGCGGUCUCGCUGUAGCUUCCUCUGCGUAGUAGCACACCUCGCACUGGGAAACAGCGCGGCCACGCCGUUAAACCCCCAACUUCUGAACGUUUGACCUCGGAUCAGGUAGGAAUACCCCCUGAACUUAAGCAUAUCAAUAAGCGGAGGA